rnacentral:rRNA from 1 species
AGUCGACGGUACAGAAGCAGCUUGCUGCUUUGCUGACGAGUGGCGGACGGGUGAGUAAUGUCUGGGAAACUGCCUGAUGGAGGGGGAUAACUACUGGAAACGGUAGCUAAUACCGCAUAACGUCGCAAGACCAAAGAGGGGGACCUUCGGGCCUCUUGCCAUCGGAUGUGCCCAGAUGGGAUUAGCUAGUAGGUGGGGUAAAGGCUCACCUAGGCGACGAUCCCUAGCUGGUCUGAGAGGAUGACCAGCCACACUGGAACUGAGACACGGUCCAGACUCCUACGGGAGGCAGCAGUGGGGAAUAUUGCACAAUGGGCGCAAGCCUGAUGCAGCCAUGCCGCGUGUAUGAAGAAGGCCUUCGGGUUGUAAAGUACUUUCAGCGGGGAGGAAGGGAGUAAAGUUAAUACCUUUGCUCAUUGACGUUACCCGCAGAAGAAGCACCGGCUAACUCCGUGCCAGCAGCCGCGGUAAUACGGAGGGUGCAAGCGUUAAUCGGAAUUACUGGGCGUAAAGCGCACGCAGGCGGUUUGUUAAGUCAGAUGUGAAAUCCCCGGGCUCAACCUGGGAACUGCAUCUGAUACUGGCAAGCUUGAGUCUCGUAGAGGGGGGUAGAAUUCCAGGUGUAGCGGUGAAAUGCGUAGAGAUCUGGAGGAAUACCGGUGGCG